AUUGAACGCUGGCGGCAGGCCUAACACAUGCAAGUCGAGCGGAUGAAGGGAGCUUGCUCCUGGAUUCAGCGGCGGACGGGUGAGUAAUGCCUAGGAAUCUGCCUGGUAGUGGGGGAUAACGUCCGGAAACGGGCGCUAAUACCGCAUACGUCCUGAGGGAGAAAGUGGGGGAUCUUCGGACCUCACGCUAUCAGCUGAGCCUAGGUCGGAUUAGCUAGUUGGUGGGGUAAAGGCCUACCAAGGCGACGAUCCGUAACUGGUCUGAGAGGAUGAUCAGUCACACUGGAACUGAGACACGGUCCAGACUCCUACGGGAGGCAGCAGUGGGGAAUAUUGGACAAUGGGCGAAAGCCUGAUCCAGCCAUGCCGCGUGUGUGAAGAAGGUCUUCGGAUUGUAAAGCACUUUAAGUUGGGAGGAAGGGAAGUAAGUGAAUACCUGGCUGUCUUGACGUUACCAACAGAAUAAGCACCGGCUAACUUCGUG
rnacentral:rRNA from 1 species